CGGAUAAAUCGCUUACUGCAGUCGAACGGCAGCACGGACUUCGGUCUGGUGGCGAGUGGCGAACGGGUGAGUAAUGUAUCGGAACGUGCCUAGUAGCGGGGGAUAACUACGCGAAAGCGUAGCUAAUACCGCAUACGCCCUACGGGGGAAAGCAGGGGAUCGCAAGACCUUGCACUAUUAGAGCGGCCGAUAUCGGAUUAGCUAGUUGGUGGGGUAAUGGCUCACCAAGGCGACGAUCCGUAGCUGGUUUGAGAGGACGACCAGCCACACUGGGACUGAGACACGGCCCAGACUCCUACGGGAGGCAGCAGUGGGGAAUUUUGGACAAUGGGGGAAACCCUGAUCCAGCCAUCCCGCGUGUGCGAUGAAGGCCUUCGGGUUGUAAAGCACUUUUGGCAGGAAAGAAACGUCAUGGGCUAAUACCCCGUGAAACUGACGGUACCUGCAGAAUAAGCACCGGCUAACUACGUGCCAGCAGCCCGGGGUAAUACA
rnacentral:rRNA from 1 species